rnacentral:rRNA from 1 species
CGCAUCCUCCUACUAGUGUGAGAAUAUGCAUGACUCUUGGCAACGGAUAUCUAGGCUCUCGCGUCGAUGAAGAACGUAGCGAAAUGCGAUACUUGGUGUGAAUUGCAGAAUCCCGUGAACCAUCGAGUCUUUGAACGCAAGUUGCGCCCAAGACCAACAGGUCGA